rnacentral:misc_RNA from 1 species
UCUCCGUAGGUGAACCUGCGGAGGGAUCAUUACAGAGUUCAUGCCCUAUCGGGUAGAUCUCCCACCCUAUGUUAUUAUUACUUUGUUGCUUUGGCGGGCCGUUAGGCUCCGGCCCGACUACCGGCCCCGGCUGGUAAGCGCCCGCCAGAGGACCCAAAACCCUGAAUAUUAGUGUCGUCUGAGUACUAUAUAAUAGUUAAAACUUUCAACAACGGAUCUCUUGGUUCUG